rnacentral:rRNA from 1 species
UACGUAGGGUGCAAGCGUUGCCCGGAUUUAUUGGGCGUAAAGGGCGCGUAGGCGGCCCGGCGCGUCCGCGGUGAAAGCUCCCGGCUCAACUGGGAGAGGUCCGCGGAUACUGUCGGGCUCGAGUCCGGAAGAGGAGUGUGGAAUUCCUGGUGUAGCGGUGAAAUGCGCAGAUAUCAGGAGGAACACCAAUGGCGAAGGCAGCACUCUGGGACGUGACUGACGCUGAGACGCGAAAGCGUGGGGAGCAAACAGG